GCCGCACGGUCUCUAGCCCGCAGGGCUCUCAGAGUCGCAGGCGGUGACGCCCGGUCGGGGGGCCCGGUCGCAAGGGACACACAGCUGGGGGCGCGAUGUCACCCGCAUUGACGUUCCCUAGGCGCUGGAUCGCCGAAGGUCUGGUUGAGAACUUGAACCCGCCUGGAGCGGAUGCCUAAGAAAAUGCGGGCCCGCUGAAGCCUCCCCGCCGGGCCCUGGGCCCUGAAAGCCUCCGGCAGUUUCCCGUGACCCCGCGGCCGC
rnacentral:sRNA from 1 species